rnacentral:rRNA from 1 species
ACGUAGGGACCAAGCGUUGUUCGGAUUUACUGGGCGUAAAGGGCGCGUAGGCGGCGCGGUAAGUCACUUGUGAAAUCUCUGAGCUUAACUCAGAACGGCCAAGUGAUACUGCGGUGCUAGAGUGUGGAAGGGGCAAUCGGAAUUCUUGGUGUAGCGGUGAAAUGCGUAGAUAUCAAGAGGAACACCUGAGGUGAAGACGGGUUGCUGGGCCAACACUGACGCUGAUGCGCGAAAGCCAGGGGAGCAAACGGG